rnacentral:rRNA from 1 species
UACGAAGGUGGCAAGCGUUGUUCGGAUUUACUGGGCGUAAAGGGAGCGUAGGUGGUUAGGUAAGCCCUCCGGGAAAUCUUCAGGCUUAACCUGAAAAGGUCGGGGGGACUGCCUAGCUAGAGGGCGGGAGAGGAGCGCGGAAUUCCCGGUGUAGCGGUGAAAUGCGUAGAGAUCGGGAGGAAGGCCGGUGGCGAAGGCGGCGCUCUGGAACGUUU